rnacentral:rRNA from 1 species
AUUUUGGUUCCGAUUGAACGUUUUUCAGUAGUUUAAGACAUGCAAAUCGUUGUUUUCGAUAGUAUAUAAAUUAUUAAUAAAUUAUAUAUUUAAGGGAAUAAGGUGUAGAGGUGAGUAGUUAAAUAAGAAACCCUAUAGUUUUCAGAAAUAGAAAAUAAAAAAAGGAUUGUAUCUGCUAUAGGAUUCGAUUUAACGGAGAUUAGGUAGUUGAUAGGGUAAAGGCCUACCAAGCCAACGAUCGAAAGUCAAGUUUGAGAGAACCGCUGGCCACAUUGGGAAUGAAAUCAACCAAGUAGUCUAACGACUACCAGCAGUCGAGAAUAUUAGUCAAUGCUCGCAAGAGUGAACUAGCUAACUGAAAUCAUAGAGUUAUAAAUUCAAACUCGUGAUGUCGUAAGGGAAAAUAAUGAUAGUACCUUACUAAUAGUGUCGUCCAAAUCUAGUGCCAGAAGACUCGGUAAGACCAGAGACGCAAACGUUAAUCAUCUUAAGCAGGCGUAAAGGGUAAGUAGGCAGCUCCCAGAUAGAAGACAAUUACGAAAUAAAGUCGUCUUAUUGGGAGAUAGAAUCAAAUGGAGGUCAAACCGUAUAACGCUCGGGGGAGGGCUGAUAUCCUUAGAUCCUGAGUAGAAUACUAAGGGCGCAGGCCACUGACCACUAAUGAUUGACGCUGAGGAACGAAGGUUAGGGUAGGAAAUAGGAUUAGAUACCCCGGUACUCCUUUCUGUAAACGAUGAAUGGUAGUCAUUAGAAAACAAUUUUUAGAGACGAAGUUAACACGAUAACCAUUCCGCCUUGUGAGUACUAUUGCAAAGUAGAAAACAAAAAAAUUAGUCGGUCUCGAAGCAAACGGAGUGAAGCAUGUUAUUUAAUACGAUAAUCCGCGUAAAACCUUACCAGAACUUGCAUACACCUUAAUUUAUUUUUAUUUGUAUUUUUAAUAGAUUAAGAGUGACUGUAUUGAAACAAAAAAUAAAAAUUUUGGUUUUUAUUUUUUAAUAUUAGUCCGUGUACAGGUGUUGCAUGGCUGUCUUCAGUUCGUGUUGUUAAACAUUAGGUUAAUUCCACUAACGAACGAAAUCCCUGCGAUUAAUUUAUACAUAAUCGCUAAUGAACCUGAUAGGGGUUCAGCGGGGGCUAAGACAAGUCGUUAUGGCCCUUAUGUUCUGGGCUAUAGACGUGCCACAAUUGCUUUUACAAUUUGAUGCAAUACUUCCCAAUAGAAGAGGAGCUAAUCAUUAAAGAAAGCAAAUUAUAUUAAAGUCCUUUAGUCGGAUUGUUUCCUGAAAUUCGGAGGCAUGAAGAAGGAAUUCCGAGUAAUCGUUGAUAAGUAGCGCAACGGUGAAGCUAGUUUCGUGAUGAACUAACUGUCUGUCGCUGGGAAGAAGCCUUUUGUGGGGGAAGCUGGGGGUAAAUAAUUAUUUUUCAUAAUUUAGUUUUUAACAGUUAUGUCAAUAUUAUGAACUUUGGUCAACUCAUUGGGGUAACAUCUCAAAAGUCAUAGCAGGGUAGCUGUACGGG